rnacentral:rRNA from 1 species
CCAAGCCUAAGUACUCCUCAGUGACCGAUAGUGCACCAGUACCGUGAGGGAAAGGUGAAAAGCACCCCGACAAGGGGAGUGAAACAGUUCCUGAAACCGGAUGCCUACAAGCAGUCGGAGCCUCUUUACGGGGUGACGGCGUACCUUUUGUAUAAUGGGUCAGCGACUUAGAGUAUGCAGCAAGCUUAAGCCGAUAGGUGGAGGCGCAGCGAAAGCGAGUCUGAAUAGGGCGACCGAGUUGCAUGCUUUAGACCCGAAACCUGAUGAUCUAGCCAUGGGCAGGUUGAAGGUGCGGUAACACGCACUGGAGGACCGAACCCACGCCUGUUGAAAAAGUCGGGGAUGAGCUGUGGUUAGGGGUGAAAGGCCAAUCAAACUCGGAGAUAGCUGGUUCUCCGCGAAAUCUAUUUAGGUAGAGCGUCGCGCGAUUACCGUCGGGGGUAGAGCACUGGAUGGG